rnacentral:piRNA from 1 species
UCUGAAGAUCCCCUUACAGAAGCCCAGAA